ACGGAGUUAGCCGGGGUUUCUUUACCUGCUACCGUCAUUAUCUUCACAGGCGAAAGAGCUUUACGACCCUAGGGCCUUCUUCACUCACGCGGCAUGGCUGGAUCAGGGUUGCCCCCAUUGUCCAAGAUUCCCC
rnacentral:rRNA from 1 species